AGACCAGGUUUUAGAAGAAAAAAAAAAAAAAAACUCAGUCAACCAAAAAAAAAGUCCUCGACUCUUUCUCUCAAAACCCUAGCAGCCGUCAAAGUUCAGUUUUCCGUUUGGCCCUCUCCGGUGGUCGGCGCUCCUCGCCGCUGCUGUGAGAGGGUGUAAAUGCUUUCCUUUUUCUGUUUUACUUGUUUUUGUUCUCGAUCUGUCUAGUUCCAUGUUUUUGAGGUGAAGGAUUUUUCUUGGCUGAGAUGGUGAAACCUUUCGACGUGCCUUCUUGGCGUGCUCGGCGGCCUGCUUCUCCGGUGAGAGUCGUUAGUGGGUCACCGUUUUAGGUAACGGUUUUAGAUUCUCUGCUCUGUACAGAUCUGGCGAUGGCUCAUGACUCUUUGGGGUUAUUGAGGUUGGUUGCUCGCAGAUCUAGGCCGUGGUAUCACUUGUGUUUCAGUCCGGUUUAUGUGUUGGUUGUGAGGCUUGUAUCGAAGGAGGUGGCCCUGUUUGUGGGUUUUAAAAUUGGAUCUUUGCUCUACCUCUCUAUUGAGUCCUCUUGCUUGUUCGUGGUUGCAAUAUGGCUGGGUUCGUUUUUGGUGUUGGCCAUUCUGAUGGUAUUUCGUUGCUGAGCCACCUACUAGCCUCUCUUCUUUGGAGAUAGGUUCUAGGCGAAGCAAUGGAAUCGUUCUCUAGCUCUUCUCUUGCGAGGACGUCGUCAGUUUUAUGUCUGUAGGUGGCUGAAGCUGUUUCGACGAGUGUCCGCGUGUAAGAGCUGUUGUUCUUAAUUGGCUUAUCUCCAGUCGAUUUUCAAGGGUUUUGCCUUGUCCAUAGUGGUGUUUGCUCUCUCUGUUUGGCUGUUGAGGUGUGAUAGUGGUUGUAUUUGUGUCUCUGGUAUCGAUGGUUUCUUGCUUUCCUCCCUGUCGGUUAUGCUUUUGGUUUGACUUCGGUGUGAGGUCUAUCCGGUUUUAUUGGUGCUUCCGACAUUCACAGUUUCUAUGUGGAAGCUUGGUGAGAGUCUAUCGUUCCUUUGUUCAAUUAUAGAGCUUAGGUUUCAAUUCUGCCUAUGCGGUUGAUCCUUUUUAGACAUUUGUCUCUUCUUGUAUUUUAUGGCUAGUCUAAAUUAGUUUCCCCGUUACGUUGGGGUUUUGCUUCCCUUUUUUGGGCUAAGUUUCUAGGGACAUCUUAGUCGUCCGCCGGCAUAUGUAAUUUCAACAUGUAUCUUACUUUGGUUCUUAAUAAAAUUCAGACGACAAAAAAAUAAAGACCAGGUUUUAGACUUUAA